rnacentral:rRNA from 1 species
CCUACGGGCGGCUGCAGUGGGGAAUAUUGGACAAUGGGGGAAACCCUGAUCCAGCAAUGCCGCGUGAGUGAUGAAGGCCUUCGGGUUGUAAAGCUCUUUUACCUGUGACGAUAAUGACGGUAACAGGAGAAUAAGCCCCGGCUAACUUCGUGCCAGCAGCCGCGGUAAUACGAAGGGGGCUAGCGUUGUUCGGAAUUACUGGGCGUAAAGGGCGCGUAGGCGGCUUUUUGCGUGAGAUGUGAAAGACCUGGGCUCAACCUGGGAAGUGCAUUUCAUACGGGAAAGCUAGAGUGCGAGAGGGGAAAGUGGAAUGAUGCGUGUAGAGGUGAAAUUCGUAGAUAUGCAUCGGAACACCAGUGGCGAAGGCGACUUUCUGGCUCGUAACUGACGCUAAGGCGCGAAAGCGUGGGGAGCAAACAGGAUUAGAUACCCCAGUAGUC